UACAGAGGGUGCGAGCGUUAAUCGGAAUUACUGGGCGUAAAGCGUGCGUAGGCGGAAAUGUAAGUCAGAUGUGAAAGCCCUGGGCUCAACCUAGGAAUAGCAUUUGAAACUGCAUAUCUAGAGCAGAAAAGAGGAGAGUAGAAUUUCAGGUGUAGCGGUGAAAUGCGUAGAUAUCUGAAGGAAUACCGGUGGCGAAGGCGACUCUCUGGUUUCAUGCUGACGCUGAGGCACGAAAGCGUGGGGAGCGAACAGG
rnacentral:rRNA from 1 species